UACGGAGGGGGCUAGCGUUGUUCGGAAUUACUGGGCGUAAAGCGCGCGUAGGCGGACCUGCAAGUCGGGGGUGAAAGCCCGAGGCUCAACCCCGGAACUGCCUUUGAUACUGGUAGUCUCGAGUCCGGAAGAGGUGAGUGGAAUUCCGAGUGUAGAGGUGAAAUUCGUAGAUAUUCGGAGGAACACCAGUGGCGAAGGCGGCUCACUGGUCCGGUACUGACGCUGAGGUGCGAAAGCGUGGGGAGCAAACAGG
rnacentral:rRNA from 1 species